GAUUUGCACGUCAGUAUCGCUUCGAACCUCCAUCAGGGUUUCCCCUGACUUCAUUCUACUCAGGCAUAGUUCACCAUCUUUCGGGUCCUAACAGAUAUGCUCCAACUCAAACCUCUCUCAGAGAUCGUGGUCGGUCGUAGGUGCGAAGAAUGGCAAAGCCAAAAUCUCCCUACUCUCACUUUCAUUGCGCAUACAGGAGUAAAACCCGCAUACUCGCACAUAUGUUAGACUCCUUGGUCCGUGUUUCAAGACGGGUCGGUUGGAACCGAUUAAGCCAGCAUCACAGAAACCGAGUACUCGAAAGUGGAGCUCGGAAACAGGAACACUCCUCAGCCACAAGGAAAAGGAAAGAACAAAGAUAUAACGGUCCACAAGGAACCUACCUUCUUUGAACGAAAUCAAUUCCGAGUAGCUGAUGCUGACCUCUCCAAAAAGAUGAACCGGAAAUACAUCAAGAAACCAAAGCCUAAACCUGGUGAGAGAGAGAAGGCAAAGGGAUAGAUGGCAAACCGGCGGCACUUCUUGGAAUCAAAAAGGUCCCAAUCGCUUCCUUUUCAGCAAUUUCAGGCACUUUUAACUCUCUUUCCAAAGAACUUUUCAUCUUUCCCUCACGGUACUUGUUUGCUAUCGGUCUCGCGCCAGUACUUAGCUUUAUGUGAAACCUACCACACAUUUUGCGCUCAAAUCCCGAUGAACGCGACUCUAUAAAAGCGUACCGUACGUGGAACAAAAAACGCAGGGGAAGGACGGGAUUCUCACCCUCUAUGAUGUUCUUUCCCAAGAAACUUAACCCUGCGCUUCCACUGGUAACGCCUCUCGAGGCUACAAGUCAACAGCUCGGAAAGAGCAGUUGAUUUCCACUUUGAGCUGAUCCCGGUUCACUCGCCGUUACUAAGGGAAUCAUAGUUAUUUUCUUCUCCUCCGCUUAAUAAUAUGCUUAAGUUCAGCGGGUAACCUCGCCUGAUUUCAGGUCUG